UUAAACUCCCGGAUGUAUUGCGCUUGAAAAGCGGGAACUCUUGCAGUGACAAUGGCUGGCUAGGCAGGCUAGUCCGCUAGGGUACCUGUGCUGCCAUGUUUGUUCUCUUUGUCCUAUGUUCCUAUUCAACGUAGCAACGACAUUGCAGCCGUUUAAUAUGUGAUGUUUAAACCCUGAAGGAUAUAGCAUAUCUUCAUCUUGCGCUUUGCAAGCGUACUUGUAUGACGACGUCAAACCAGACGUACUACUGAACGCUUGUUUUCUUUCCAAGUUCGCUAAGUUUCAGUCGAUGUCCCGCUGGCAUCACACAACGCAUGGAAGACGGUACGUGCAAUGCAUGUACCCUUUUUCAUUGCGCUUGGCAGUGUUGCGCCCAACUCUUUUGUGGCGUUAGGAAGUCUGUUUUAGUGUUCGGCUUCCCUAGGUAGAUCCGUAAUUUUCAACAAUGAUUGUAUUAACCAUAGCUUGUCUGAACACUUCCUCUUGCCUGAAUGUUCUUUAUAUUCGCAGUUUUAUAUUCCGUAAAUGCAUACGUCCCGAAGAGAAAACAGCACUGAAUCUGAGGCUUCCUGUAAUGAAUUGCCUUUCAGCGUAACUGCAGCACAGAGCAAAAUAGUCUCGUAUACUUCUUGGUUCACAGUUCAACUCCCGUGAUGUAUCUGAAGAUAAACAGCAGAGCCAACCGAAUUUUGAAGGAGACUAUUCCCAGAAUAACGAGCGGAAUUCCACAUUAAACUGACGUCUCUUUACCAUAGAUUGAGAAGUUACCCGUCCAAAAGAACUCGUUACAAGUUAAGUUACCGUGUGCAAAAUGUAACUAAGUUAAUAACGAAGUUCUUCAGCCUGAAAUGUAACUCGCAGUUACUGAGUUCCUUAAAGAACGAGUUACUUCCAAGUUACUUCGGACACAAAAUAGCAUUACGCAGGUGCAGAAAGCGUGAGCAGUUGGGGUAGGCCUUGAGUUGCCUGCGGAGAGGUGCAACACGCUUAGAUCGUUUUCGUUUAUGUCCAACAAUAGACAUCUCCCUGUUUGUAAACAAAUGACGCCAUAGUGUUCGACAGCGCCAAAAUUGGGUAGAAUAGAACUACGGUCGAAGCUAGAGGUCAACAAGGUCGCGCCCGAAAGCUACGGUCUUGAGGGGAUUACGAUAUGGUCCCUUAAAGGAACGCGACCCUCGGUUCUGCUUUUCUUUCAAUGGGAGGCAGCGAACAAGUGCCCGUUCGUGGAACCCAGCCCUCUCCCCCCGAUUUGUUUCGGUUUCAGUCUGUCUAGCAAUGUCAAGAUGACAUUUCUCUUGUAGAGGUCUAUUGGAACGCUUUGCACCUUACUCCCUGUGGGCGCACAACGGUUCAGCUUCAUUUCAAUGGAAGCGGUUCUUACUUCCUGAAUAAAAUACUGUCAUUGAUUGAAUAUCACGUUUUAUGGCAAAAAAUGCCAUGAAGGAACCGGAGAGAAACCAAGAAAAAUAUGUGGACGUGAGUGAAAAGCGAGUUAAAAGUAACUUGGAACUUAACUUAAGUUGCUUUGGCGAAGUUAUCUGAAAAAGGAACGAGUUCCUCCGAAAGUUACCACGGCGCAAAAGUACCGAGUUAAGUUACAAGUUACCAAAAAAAGGAACUUAGUUACAGUAACGAGUUACCUCGAACUCUGCUCUUUACCUCUUCCCUUUCAAUAGGGCGCUAAAGCAUUAUUGACACAAUUGUGGACCCCAUUUACUAAAUACAGGAUGCUCAUGAGUUCUUAAUGUUGCCUGCUCCUGACAGGACAGACAUUUGUUCUGUUUGUCCGCUGUGUUUCAGCCUCAGAACAGCUUCUACUUCAUAGGGAGUGGAACAUGUUUGCCUUUUGACAGCUCACACGCAAACUUCCCAAGAAGCUAAGUGGUCUAUCUUACCAAAUGUUGCCUAGGGACAUGCAGUAACCAGUAACUUCCCCAGAAUUCGACCUCUCUGGAGUACCGAACUUCCAAAUGGGGUGUGGGGUAUAGGGAUAUGGACACAUGUUUAUGUGUACAUGUGCUGGUGGCUGAGCUGUAUUGGGCAAUCUCGAGAGUUUCAGCGGGGUGAUUGCAAAAAAAACAAGGGGGGGGGGGGAAUCCCUGGGGACAUGGCAGUGUGGACAAACCAUAUCCCAACACAUUGCUUACAUAGGAAUAGCCAAAAAUUAAAAGGCUACUCACCUUGCACAUUAAGGGCCUAGGUUUUUGUGUUUGUUCCAGAGGUGCCACAUUUGCCUCAACUUUGCUGCAAGUAUGAAUGCAUGUCCCAUCCAUUCUAAUGGAUGGGACUUACUCCAACUUUGGUGUAUUGACGAGAAAGCUACAAUGGUUUGCUAUGCUAUAACGUGCCACAGUGUAACAGCUGUAUGUGUGUGGUAUCACAACAGCACAGUGGCUGACAGAUAAUGUAAAACCCAACUUCACAGCUCAGCUGCCUAAAAACUCUGCUCCUAGAUAGUUACAGACGUUCAAACUUCAUAUCGAACACAAGUACAGUAAGCAAGCGAGCUGGUGUGUAAUUGAAGAAGGUAGCAUAAUUCCUUGAGUCUGAGGACAGGGACUAAGUCAACACAGAACAGGACCAGGUCGUUCGGUUCUGUUCUGUGUAGUCUUCGUCCCUGUCAUGCUCCUCAGACUCGUGGAAUUAUGCUACCUCCGUAAAAUUCAUAUACAACAAAAUUUGGUUCCCUUGUACAAGGGUUGUUCAACGGUGUCGGAGACUUUUUUUUUUUUAAUACAAUGGAAAAUUCAGGAAGCACCAAACUGUGUCAGUUUUACAGUGACAGCUGUUAAAGGGGCACUAAAAUGCAAAAACAACUUUCUGUCAAAUAAAAGUCAGUGUUUCAAUUAGUAUGAUGCAAGCGAAAUUAGUUCACACAGUGCUACUGUUUAGAAGAAAAACGCAAUGACAACAGAGACGUCUUUGGUAGAGAUGUCGCGAACCGGCCGCGGUUCAAGUUCGCACAGGUUCGAAAAAAAAUGAACUUUUGUGAAAAGUCCGCUGAACAGUUCGAAUAAAGUUUGACAGGUCUGCGCAUGCGCGACUUCCGAAGAAGAGUUUUCGAUGGCUAAAGAUAUCUCUUUGUAAAUCACUUUAGGAACGCGAGGAAAACGUUUUUGGUCUCGGGAACCAUAUACUGCACACAUCAACAUGACAUAAAACAUACGCAACGCAUACUGUUUGCAGUUUGCAAUUGACAUCAACGUCAGGUGCUGGGCCGCUAUCCUCAGUCCUGAAGCGUACCUCGUUCUGUACUUGUCUACCUUGUAGUGAACAGUUUAUAUGUACAUAAACAUCACUGCAAUGUUUAUAAUACCAUCGUUGUGGCACCAUCUGCUGCUUGCUCCUUGCCGUUUGUGUUUCUUCAGUGGCUCAUGCCAUGUACAGCUCUGUAUUUUGCCCCUAUAGCUCGCAUAUAGAAUACUUUUUAUUCUGUUUCAUGUAGUGCACUUUUCUUAUACCCUCCUCAGAGUUUGUGCAAACUGCUCAUCUCCAGAGAUCCAGUGAUAGCUAUGGAAUGGUGAGCCGUCUGCACUUGAGAUACAACUAUUUCUGAAGCCUUACAUGUAUUUCAACAUCAUUAUUCCUGAUGUCGUUGGAAAAUUGAAAUACGAAGAAAGCACAAAAAAAGCCAAUGCUUUGCUUUUAAAAAGAGCAUUAAAAAGUUGAGCUUUGCGAAGUUUGAAGGUUCGUCGCCAUUCGAACCCCCAGGUUCGACAUCGAACUUUGAGGUUCGAAAAAGGCUCGCGACAUCCCUAGUCUUUGGCGGCAACGUACGGGACCCCAGGAGGCAAAGAUUGGCGCCAUCCAAUGAGGCAGCAGGAGAAGCGUGUGCAUACCUAUCGUGGCCGUGUGAAUUUCGAACGGGUUUGCUAGUAGUGUUCCGUAUAUGCUCCGCAUGAUGCGCACUGCGCCAUUUUUCAAUACCGAUUCACUGAAUUGUACCCACAACAGUCCUCGCGAAUGUUCCACUGACAACAUUCACGACCAACUGACGCCGACGCCAGCCCGCUUUGCAACGCGCACUAUGUUUUUCACCUAGACUGCUGCAUGGCGUGGCAUGCGCAGCAUGGACUAAAAACACCGAUGCACGAGCUCAAACGACGUUCACUGCUUAGCGCCGAAGCAAGAAAGAGUCAGGUAUACUUUCGACUGUAGCUCCGUCACGGAAUCAAAGUUUUGAAUUAUGAUAACAAGUACGAAAUUAACAUAGCGUACAACGUAAUUUGAAGUGAACUUGUUUUUGCAUUUUAGUGCCCCUUUAAGGGUUCAAUUUUGUGCCGAUCUUUUCCCAUAUGUCGCACCGCCAAAAUACAAAAGAGAAAAAACUAAGAAGAAAUGCAUCGUGGUGGUGUUAGGGUUGCCACCUUUCGUAGUGAAAAAUACCGGCCGAGGGAGAGGGGGUGGUAUAGAGGGAAAGGGGAAAUGGGUGGAUGAGGACACAGAGAGAGAGAUAAUACGAGGAGUUCCUGUGUGUGGCUGGAUCAUUGAUGUUAGAAAUUACUAUAAACGGGCAUGAACGGUACACUGGAUCGUAUUGGAGCAACCGGAUUGUUAUUUACUCUGAAAAACGCAUUGAUGCACACAAACCCUUCUUUGCAGGAGGAGAUCUCAUGAUGGUUGUAUACGGCCUAAGUUCUAUCUGGCUCGACACAACCUUCAAUAGCCUUGCACAACCACUGAUCUUGUCCUCUCCGAACACAAGACUUGAUGAAUAACAAUGAUAAUAAUAAUAAUGAAUAAAUAAUAAAACGACUGGUGACUGCGGAGUUGGGACUUUGCUCCAGAUUUAUUCAAGAUGUAGUGGAAUGUUGAAGCGAAAACCUCGCAAAAGCCCUUGUGAAAAGGUAUUGAGCAACAAAUACCCGCAAAACGCUGCCGGCAUCACCCUUUCUACCGGCAACCAGCAGAGCGAGCAAAUAACCAGCCUGGUGGCAACCCUAGGUGGUGUCCAUGUACGCUUCCCCCAACGAGCCCCUUGCCAAGAUACAUGCGUUCCUCGCUGAAACUUUCACCAGUGAACGAACCUCCACAUACUACAGUGACCAUAAGACACAUCUUAUGGUCCUUCAACACCCUGCUGACGACCAACAUCAUAAAGCAUAUCAAGCACAACACCCAAGUACUGACCAAGAAGAUCUUGCUGCGGACCGCAUUCAACAGAGCGAACCAUGCGUAUUAAAACCAGUUCAGCAGCUGCUCAGAGACUGCCAUGCGCACUCCCGUUCUGGUCACAGGUGAGGUGUCGGGGAACCCAUCUUGCACAGACUUUACGGAACAAGCUGCAGAGACACGGCUCACUGCCAUGAUAGCUGCCGCCGCUGCACGUGCCGCUGACCUGAGAAGGAUUGCACUUCGUCCUCCGAAAGGUUUAUUCAAUUACAUUUACUCACUGAUUUUUCUCGAGCAAAAGUCUUGGUCAACCUCGAACGACCCUUGUAUGUACUGGAUAAAAGGCAAAACUGCUUAGAGCUGUUUUAUGUUUGUGUAAGAUGUGAAUCGUCCAUAAUGUUUUAAAAUCCCCCCGUGCCGGGGGAGUGUUGUGUCGUCCUUUUAGCUCCCCGGCACUGGGAGAUUUAAUAUGAACUGCUGAACCGCCCAGUUUUUAACCAUUUUCGUGCAUAAUGUAGUACAAAAGGUGCAUAGAUUACAGACGCUCAACUUGGAAUAUAUAUGAAUAAUAUAGUCAAUAAUGAUAAAUGUAUAACCAUUAUGUACAUUGAAAUGUCACCCUUGCAUACCUCCUGCAGCAUUAACAGGACUGCUAACACCUACUUCACCAGCAUAUCAAAUCUUUCUAUGUGACAGUGCGUGUAACCUCACUUGUAAAGUAGCAAACAAUUAUGGUGGCAUAUCCUCCUCAAAGAUUCACUAAUAAGCAACUCACGAGAAAAAGUAAAAUAAGUACUGACAUAGUCAAGCAUGAUAAAGCAAAUUUAAAUUGAAUUUGUUGUUUAUUGAUAUAAAAUCACAUGUAUUGACCGAAUACGUGCAGACCCAUAGCAGUUCGAAGUAGCAGCAGCGGAGUGCACUGUAUGGCAGCAAUGUAACAAGUUAACAACACAAAAGAACCAAUACAAAAUACAUAAUACUAACAGAAGAAGUGCAAAAAAAGCUAACCAUGUCACAAGCCUUGAAAUUUGUUUCAUACUGCUUUUUCUACUUUUGAGUGGCUUGAAAUGUGGAAUUUUAGUGGAUGUGUUCUAGGAAUUAAUUUUGGUACACCACUCAUCCAAGGACCUUCAAAAACACUGGUAUAAAUGUUGUUUGUGGGCAGCUGGAAUAUUGUUCAACCGAACUGCACAGUACUCGAACUGCCCACAAAAUCAAGAUGUCUUUCUGGUUACAUAGUGUUGUACAUAGACAUUAAAGGGUUGCAACACUUCAUACCAAGUUAUGCUGGAUAAACUUGAAAGAUGAUUAUUCGCAUCAAUGCAAACCUGCAUUUCAAGGUUUACAGCACAGGGCAUGGGCAGGGGGGGGUAACAAAUGUGUGGAAAAUUGCGGAUUAAAACAGUAAGCUUACCAUAUUGGUAAAUCAUUUGACAACUACUAACUUUGGGGCAGAACCACCUGACCAAGUGGAGAGUGGAUCAUCUAUUGUCUACAUCACUUUCGCACACAGUUCAUGGCUGUAAAGCAAAUUGUGACGCUGAGAAUGAUUUCAACCAACUAAAAGUAGGGUACUCAAGUACUCAAAAUUACAAAUCUGCUCUAUACAGCUGAAAGGAUGAACACACUCCUGAAUAUCUUCUGAGCGGAUUCGUGCCUUACCGCACAAAAGAAAACUGCUUUACUGAUAAAAUGUUUCUCAACACAUACAAAAAAUGGAAAAGGCAUGGGAUUCAUUUUACCCAUUAUUUCCUCAGAUUGCACCUGGUCUUUCAUUCCAUAGAGUAAAGUCUGACUGUAAACACUGAAUUCUAACAAAGUAUAAUACUCUGAUGUACAAGGGUCUACGAAUGUGGCAAGUCAUUACUGGACUGAAAGUGUAGAUACUGCAAUGUUAUGCAUGGGCUAGGAAUAGUCCUUACUUGACAUAAUGAACUGUGGAAAGCUAGACUAGAUGGUGAUGCAUACCUGCUGACAUGACGAAUAUAUUUACUACAACUGAAGCUUGCUUGCAACAAAAAAAAAAAGGAAUAAAAGGGAGGUCACAUUCAGAAAUGAGCUGAAGAAAAAUCGUGUAUGUCUUUAUUAAGUAUACAAUAUUUGCUUGCACUGUAUUACACUGUGAAUAACAAACAUUUGUGUGAACACCACUUUUAACCACUGCAUCGUGACCACAGAAUCUAUUGCCACAUCGCUAUUACAUGCAUUUUCCACAUGCUCCACGGGUUCACCUUCAAAAGACAAGGUUUCGUAGUCUUUGCUUAACUUGCAUGCUUCAAUGCGUUUUAAGCAGAAUAGAUAUUCACG